rnacentral:rRNA from 1 species
UACGACUACAUAUCAGGCAUAUCAAUAAGCGGAGGAAAAGAAACUAACAAGGAUUCCCUUAGUAACGGCGAGUGAAGCGGGAAGAGCUCAAAUUUGAAAUCUUCAAGGUUCUACCUUGACGAAUUGUAGUUUAAAGAAGUGUUUUCUGUUAGAUGAGUAGCAAAAGUUCCUUGGAAUGGGACAUCAUAGAGGGUGAGAAUCCCGUAUUUGGUUAUUCAUUCUAGCUUUGUGAUACACUUUCAAAGAGUCGGAUUGUUUGGGAAUGCAGUCCAAAAUGGGUGGUAAAUUUCAUCUAAAGCUAAAUAUUGGCGAGAGACCGAUAGCGAACAAGUACCGUGAGGGAAAGAUGAAAAGAACUUUGAAAAGAGAGUUAAACAGUACGUGAAAUUGUCAAAAGGGAAGCGUUUGACACCAGUGUUGUUUUUCCGAAAAUCAAUUACGAAUGGCUUGAUUUUGUGUUGUAUUGACCUUAUCAGCUUUCUUCACUUUUUUCGAGUCUUUCUUAAUGCACUUUUCGGUUAACAAGUCAACAUCAAUUUCUUUUGUUGUAAAAGAGUAUUCGGAAGGUGGCUUUCUUUUCGGAGAAAGUGUUUAUAGCCCUAUACUUCUACAAUCGGAGAGAUUGAGGUCUGCAGCGUAGAUCCUUCGGGGUUAGAUACACUUGUGCUAAGUUGUAGCUUUUCAUAGACAACUUGUUGACUAUGUUUAGUCAUGCGGCUUACUCGCUUAGUGCUAUUUUACCUACGCUUAGGAUGUUGAGUAGCGACAUACGCAC